UAUUAUUUUUUGAUAAAUUUAUUCCUAGGUUAGUAAUAGUUAUUUACUUAAAAAUUAAAAAAUUUGGCGGUAGUUUAAUCUUUUCAGAGGAACUUGUUUUUUAAUCGAUAGUCCCCGAAAUAUCUUACUUAUUAAUAUAGAGUUUGUAUACCGUCAUUAUCAGGUAAUUUUGAAAAAAUUAAUUACUAAGAAUAAAAAGGUUUAUUAAAAUUAGAUCAAGGUGCAGCUAAUGAAUAAGUUAAAAUGAGUUACAAUAAAAUAUUUUAUUACGAAUAAGAAAAUGAAUAUUUCUAUGGAAGGUGGAUUUGGUUGUAUUUAAAAUUUAAUAUAUUUUAAAGAUGAUAGCUCUAAACUAUGUACAUAU
rnacentral:rRNA from 1 species